rnacentral:lncRNA from 1 species
AUGGUUUUGCCUAUUGGAGCCAAAAUGAAAGUUCGCAGCCUUUGCCGGAUUUCUAGUGAUUUCUUUUACGUAGAGCCUUCUAUCAUAGAAGAUCAAAGUGAGAUGAAUACUAAUCGUGCAUCAGUAAUAGAAUGGCUGGAAGAAGGUAAUAAAGGAAAGAUCCUAGUCACAAGUUUCAAGAGAGACAACCUGUUUCUUGCUGCUAUAGUUGUGGAUGAUGAAUGUAAGGUGCUAGAUCAAUUGAAGUUAAUUCAUAAGAUAGUCUUUAGUAAGCUGAACAAGAAAAUGAAGAAUCCGCUAGAGACAGAUGAUUUUGUUCCCUUGAUUGGAGACUUAGUUGGAGUGUACGUAGAACAUGAGAGCAUUUGGACUAGAGGCAUCAUUUGGUCUAUCUCUCCCAACUUUGUUCGUUGUUCUCUUAUCGAUCUUGGGUGUGUAGUAUCUGUGCAUCCAAAACAAGUAAGACCUUUGGAAAAGAAGUGUGAAUCUUAUCCCUUUUUUGGGGUUAGUUGUGAAGUGAAAAAAAUUGAUUCAGAAAAGAAGCUUGAGCUCUAUCAAAAAUCCGUGAACACAAAGUAUGAUUUUACUGUUUUGAAAGAAGGGCCUGAUGCAGUUGUUUGUAGAUUGUCGGAUAAGGAUCAAGAAAUUUGCACGAUUGAAAUGAAAGAAUGGGAACCCACUUCUGAAGAAAUCGGUCUGAAAGCUGUUGCGUUGAAAAACAAGAGCCUAGUCCAUAUCACACAAUUUUAUUCGUCAUCAUUUUUGCACGUAACUCCAAUUAGUCAGGCCAAUUUCGUGAUCGAUCAAAAACUCAUGAAGCUCAUUCAGUCUUCUCAACCUCUAAAAAACCCUCCCAGAUUUGGGCAGCUUGUAGCUUGCAAGUGGAGUAAAGAUAAUUGCUAUCAUCGUGCGCAAGUAUUUGAACCAUUUAAAGAUUCUGUUUACCGCAUUUUCUUCGUUGACUUUGGCACGCAAGAAUUAACCUCACUAGAAAAUGUUUAUGAACUUGACAAUGAGUUGCUUAGUUAUCCAUGUCUUGCAGUUAAAGUCUCCUUAAAAGGUGUUGAAGAUGCUGACAUUCCCAACUGUGAAUCUGUAAAUUACCUAAAUUCACUGGGCUUCAAAGAAGAGCCUUUAAAAAUAGUGUUUGAGGACAAUGACUUGUCUAAUGCAGAAUUUUAUGACUCCUAUGAUGAAUCGAUUAAUGAGAAAAUGAAACAACACUUGAAAGUGGAAGAUUUAGCAGAAAAUGAAAUAAUUUAUGAUGCCCAUAUAAAUUUUGGUAAACUUGAGAUCGGUAGUGAGGUUGAGCUUGCCCUCUUAGGGAAACUUGACGGGAUUUACUUCAUGUUCAAGCCAAAUACAGAUAUAGCGCAGUUUGUUUUUGGGACUCAUCAAAAGUUAAUUAAUGACUAUUGUGAAGGGUUGAACUCCAAUGGAUACACACCAUAUAAAGGAGAAGUCGUUUUUGUCAAUAUCAACACCCGAGAAAUGCCCGAGAGGUGCUGGUGUCGUGCCAUAGUCGGAAAAAUGAGGGAAUAUGGUUCAUUCGAGGUAAUAUUACUCGAUUUUGGUGGUCAAGGCGAUAUUUAG